rnacentral:rRNA from 1 species
CCUACGGGAGGCUGCAGUGGGGAAUAUUGGACAAUGGGCGAAAGCCUGAUCCAGCCAUGCCGCGUGUGGGAAGAAGGCCUUCGGGUUGUAAAGCACUUUCAGUGGGGAAGAAAGCCUUGGGGCUAAUACCCUCGAGGAAGGACAUCACCCACAGAAGAAGCACCGGCUAACUCCGUGCCAGCAGCCGCGGUAAUACGGAGGGUGCGAGCGUUAAUCGGAAUUACUGGGCGUAAAGCGCGCGUAGGCGGUCUGAUAAGCCGGUUGUGAAAGCCCCGGGCUCAACCUGGGAACGGCAUCCGGAACUGUCAGGCUAGAGUGCAGGAGAGGAAGGUAGAAUUCCCGGUGUAGCGGUGAAAUGCGUAGAGAUCGGGAGGAAUACCAGUGGCGAAGGCGGCCUUCUGGACUGACACUGACGCUGAGGUGCGAAAGCGUGGGUAGCAAACAGGAUUAGAUACCCCGGUAGUC